GACGAACGCUGGCGGCGUGCCUAAUACAUGCAAGUCGAACGCAGUGGGGACGGGUGAGUAACACGUGGGUAACCUCCCAUCAGAGGGGAUAACACUUGGAAACAGGUGCUACGCCGAUAUUGAUGGAUUGACACGCGGUGCAUGAGCCAGUUGGUGAGGUAACGGCUCCACAAGGCCACGAUGCAUAGCCGAUCUGAGAGGGUGAUCGGCCACACUGUGACUUAGACCCGGCCCAGACUCCUACGGGAGGCAGCAGUAGGGAAUCUUCGGAAAUGGACGAAAGUCUUACCGAGCAACGCCGCGUGAGUGAAGAAGGUUUUCGGAUCGUAAAACUCUGUUGUGAGAGAAGCGGUAUCUACACAGAAAGCCACGGCUAACUACGUGCCAGCAGCCGCGGUAAUAC
rnacentral:rRNA from 1 species